rnacentral:rRNA from 1 species
UUAAGCGACUAAGCGUACACGGUGGAUGCCCUGGCAGUCAGAGGCGAUGAAGGACGUGCUAAUCUGCGAAAAGCGUCGGUAAGGUGAUAUGAACCGUUAUAACCGGCGAUGUCCGAAUGGGGAAACCCAGUGUGAUUCGUCACACUAUCGUUAACUGAAUACAUAGGUUAACGAGGCGAACCGGGGGAACUGAAACAUCUAAGUACCCCGAGGAAAAGAAAUCAACCGAGAUUCCCCCAGUAGCGGCGAGCGAACGGGGAGCAGCCCAGAGUCUGAAUCAGCUUGUGUGUUAGUGGAACGGUCUGGAAAGUCCGACGGUACAGGGUGAUAGUCCCGUACACCAAAAUGCACAGGCUGUGAACUCGAAGAGUAGGGCGGGACACGUGGUAUCCUGUCUGAAUAUGGGGGGACCAUCCUCCAAGGCUAAAUACUCCUGACUGACCGAUAGUGAACCAGUACCGUGAGGGAAAGGCGAAAAGAACCCCGGCGAGGGGAGUGAAAAAGAACCUGAAACCGUGUACGUACAAGCAGUGGGAGCACCUUCGGGUGUGACUGCGUACCUUUUGUAUAAUGGGUCAGCGACUUAUAUUCUGUAGCAAGGUUAACCGUAUAGGGGAGCCGCAGGGAAACCGAGUCUUAACUGGGCGUUAAGUUGCAGGGUAUAGACCCGAAACCCGGUGAUCUAGCCAUGGGCAGGUUGAAGGUUGGGUAACACUAACUGGAGGACCGAACCGACUAAUGUUGAAAAAUUAGCGGAUGACUUGUGGCUGGGGGUGAAAGGCCAAUCAAACCGGGAGAUAGCUGGUUCUCCCCGAAAGCUAUUUAGGUAGCGCCUCGUGAAUUCAUCUUCGGGGUAGAGCACUGUUUCGGCUAGGGGGUCAUCCCGACUUACCAACCCGAUGCAAACUACGAAUACCGAAGAAUGUUAUCACGGGAGACACACGGCGGGUGCUAACGUCCGUCGUGAAGAGGGAAACAACCCAGACCGCCAGCUAAGGUCCCAAAGUCAUGGUUAAGUGGGAAACGAUGUGGGAAGGCACAGACAGCCAGGAUGUUGGCUUAGAAGCAGCCAUCAUUUAAAGAAAGCGUAAUAGCUCACUGGUCGAGUCGGCCUGCGCGGAAGAUGUAACGGGGCUAAACCAUGCACCGAAGCUGCGGCAGCGACACUAUGUGUUGUUGGGUAGGGGAGCGUUCUGUAAGCCUGCGAAGGUGACCUGUGAGGGUUGCUGGAGGUAUCAGAAGUGCGAAUGCUGACAUAAGUAACGAUAAAGCGGGUGAAAAGCCCGCUCGCCGGAAGACCAAGGGUUCCUGUCCAACGUUAAUCGGGGCAGGGUGAGUCGACCCCUAAGGCGAGGCCGAAAGGCGUAGUCGAUGGGAAACAGGUUAAUAUUCCUGUACUUGGUGUUACUGCGAAGGGGGGACGGAGAAGGCUAUGUUAGCCGGGCGACGGUUGUCCCGGUUUAAGCAUGUAGGCUGGUUGUCCAGGCAAAUCCGGAUAAUCAAGGCUGAGGUGUGAUGACGAGGCACUACGGUGCUGAAGUAACAAAUGCCCUGCUUCCAGGAAAAGCCUCUAAGCAUCAGGUAACAUCAAAUCGUACCCCAAACCGACACAGGUGGUCAGGUAGAGAAUACCAAGGCGCUUGAGAGAACUCGGGUGAAGGAACUAGGCAAAAUGGUGCCGUAACUUCGGGAGAAGGCACGCUGGUGUGUAGGUGAAGUCCCUGCGGAUGGAGCUGAGACCAGUCGAAGAUACCAGCUGGCUGCAACUGUUUAUUAAAAACACAGCACUGUGCAAACACGAAAGUGGACGUAUACGGUGUGACGCCUGCCCGGUGCCGGAAGGUUAAUUGAUGGGGUUAUCCGUAAGGAGAAGCUCUUGAUCGAAGCCCCGGUAAACGGCGGCCGUAACUAUAACGGUCCUAAGGUAGCGAAAUUCCUUGUCGGGUAAGUUCCGACCUGCACGAAUGGCGUAAUGAUGGCCAGGCUGUCUCCACCCGAGACUCAGUGAAAUUGAACUCGCUGUGAAGAUGCAGUGUACCCGCGGCAAGACGGAAAGACCCCGUGAACCUUUACUAUAGCUUGACACUGAACAUUGAGCCUUGAUGUGUAGGAUAGGUGGGAGGCUUUGAAGCGUGGACGCCAGUCUGCGUGGAGCCAACCUUGAAAUACCACCCUUUAAUGUUUGAUGUUCUAACGUUGGCCCCUUAUCGGGGUUGCGGACAGUGUCUGGUGGGUAGUUUGACUGGGGCGGUCUCCUCCCAAAGCGUAACGGAGGAGCACGAAGGUUAGCUAAUCCUGGUCGGACAUCAGGAGGUUAGUGCAAUGGCAUAAGCUAGCUUGACUGCGAGCGUGACGGCGCGAGCAGGUGCGAAAGCAGGUCAUAGUGAUCCGGUGGUUCUGAAUGGAAGGGCCAUCGCUCAACGGAUAAAAGGUACUCCGGGGAUAACAGGCUGAUACCGCCCAAGAGUUCAUAUCGACGGCGGUGUUUGGCACCUCGAUGUCGGCUCAUCACAUCCUGGGGCUGAAGUAGGUCCCAAGGGUAUGGCUGUUCGCCAUUUAAAGUGGUACGCGAGCUGGGUUUAGAACGUCGUGAGACAGUUCGGUCCCUAUCUGCCGUGGGCGCUGGAGAAUUGAGGGGGGCUGCUCCUAGUACGAGAGGACCGGAGUGGACGCAUCACUGGUGUUCGGGUUGUCAUGCCAAUGGCACUGCCCGGUAGCUAAAUGCGGAAGAGAUAAGUGCUGAAAGCAUCUAAGCACGAAACUUGCCCCGAGAUGAGUUCUCCCUGAGACUUUAAGUCUCCUGAAGGAACGUUGAAGACGACGACGUUGAUAGGCCGGGUGUGUAAGCGCAGCGAUGCGUUGAGCUAACCGGUACUAAUGAACCGUGAGGCUUAACCUU